UCGACGGAGAGUUUGAUCCUGGCUCAGGACGAACGCUGGCGGCGGGCCUAACACAUGCAAGUCGAACGAGAUGUCUAGUGGCGAACGGGUGAGUAACACGUGAGGAACCUGCCCCGAAGACGGGGAUAACCGUGGGAAACUGCGGCUAAUACCCGAUACCCCCGACGCGGCGAGUGCCGCGACGAGGAAAAGCUCCGGUGCUUCGGGAGGGCCUCGCGGCCUAUCAGCUAGUUGGUGAGGUAACGGCUCACCAAGGCAUCGACGGGUAGCUGGUCUGAGAGGACGAUCAGCCACACUGGGACUGAGACA
rnacentral:rRNA from 1 species